rnacentral:lncRNA from 1 species
UGUCUCAUCUCGAUCCCCAUACCGCACAAGUGUGAUAAGCAAGUGCGAUGAAUUCUAGAUUUCAGAAUGUUGCUCCAGACGCAUUCAUUUGAUCUAGCUAAAGUGACGAGAUCAUAUACCAGCUGCAAACAUGCCUACAAGGAUAGACGUACUUAACGGACAUCAAGUCAACAUUCUUGAAGGGUGUGCCGCCCCUGUUGGACGGUUUGGACACUCCUGUUGGACGGUUCGGUACACCGGCGAAUAGCCAAUCAAUCUGUCUUGGACUGGAGCACGACAGAUCAUUCGGUUCGUAGGAUUCACUUCCCUAUAAGAGUUCCUUAGAACAAGAAAACACGGCACAAUAAUGAAUCUAAACUCGAUCGUUGUCUCAAAUCAUUUCCAUUUCAUGAGAUUAAUCCAGAUUACUCCUGAGACUGGAAGUUCUUGGUCCAGUAUACUAGUUUGG